rnacentral:rRNA from 1 species
GACGAACGCUGGCGGCGUGCUUAACACAUGCAAGUCGAACGGAAAGGCCCUGCUUUUGUGGGGUGCUCGAGUGGCGAACGGGUGAGUAACACGUGAGUAACCUGCCCUUGACUUUGGGAUAACUUCGGGAAACUGGGGCUAAUACCGGAUAGGAGCUCCUGCUGCAUGGUGGGGGUUGGAAAGUUUCGGCGGUUGGGGAUGGACUCGCGGCUUAUCAGCUUGUUGGUGGGGUAGUGGCUUACCAAGGCUUUGACGGGUAGCCGGCCUGAGAGGGUGACCGGCCACAUUGGGACUGAGAUACGGCCCAGACUCCUACGGGAGGCAGCAGUGGGGAAUAUUGCAUAAUGGGCGGAAGCCUGAUGCAGCAAUGCCGCGUGCGGGAUGACGGCCUUCGGGUUGUAAACCGCUUUCGCCUGUGACGAAGCGUGAGUGACGGUAAUGGGUAAAGAAGCACCGGCUAACUACGUG